UCUUGAAUAUAAAUAUUUUUAAAUGUAUCUCUCUCUUUGCUUUAAGUUAUCGGCAUUAUACAUAUACAUCAAUAUGAAAAUCAAUGAUCAAACAAACACGAAAAUAAUAUUCUAUCACCACAAUCUAAAGAGGCUUGCACAACCAGCUCAAGAUUCAAAAUCUUCAUCAAAAAAAGAGAAGGAAAAAAAAAGGAAAAAGGAAGAGGAUAAGGAAUCCUCUCUAAUCUUCAUGCUUAAAAAACUCCAUAAGAUGAAUAGCUCCCUAUCUCGAAUUUGCAUAAAAUCUCAAGCUAUAGCUAUUGAGGCUCUCUCUUCUCCUACUUUUUGUUCGGUUAGAGCUUUCUCUGACUCUGUUGAUGACUCUGUUGACAACUUUUCUCACCAAACAGCUCCUAACUCUAAUUUUCUAACUUCUCCAUUUAAAUAAAAUCCUAAUAACUUUUAUUAACUCUAAAACUCUCCUUAAUUCUUACUAAUUCCACCUUUAUCCUUAGUUUUAAUUAAAACUCUAAUUUCCUCCCCCAAAACUCAUAUUUUCAUUAUUUCUAUUAUUUUAAUUAAAUAAAAUUAUACCCGACCUCAAAUACUUCAACUAAUAUAAUAAAGCACCCAAAUAAAUAAUAUAAAAUAUAGUUUUUUCACUCAACGCUUCACCAACUCAAUAUCUUUAACAGACCUGAAGAUAAAAUACAUUCUAUAUCAUUAUUUUUCUCAUCUCUUUCCUCCAUCCUCUUCACUCAUCAAUUCAACUUUUUAUUCCAAACAUAAUUAGUCUUGCAAUCUCACUUGUCUAUUUCAUUUAUUUUUAAGAUUAAAAAAACUAUACACAAUCCAUGAGGUUGAUUUUCUCAAAGACACAAAAAUAUUAUUUUUCUUUUAGAAUGUCUACCUUCUCUCUUUCUUGAAAGGGUCUAUAUAUAAAAAAUACAAUGAUAUAUCUAAGAGACGCUUAAAUAAUUUUUAAUUUAUGAAUUAUUUUUUAUAAACCUUCUAUGUACUUAAUCAUAUCAUUUACCAACAUAUGUGAAUUAAUCAUUUUUCUAUUUAUUAUAUGUAAAGGAGAAAAAAUAUGGUUGAAAUUCUCAAAUCCAUUCCUAUUUUGUUCAUCUUUCUUUUUCUAGUUGUUCUUGUAACCAGCGAAGAAAUGACAGAUCGUGUGUUCUGCUAUAGUCACAAACAUUGUCAAUUCAAUCCAUGUUUCUCUUCUUUAGUUUCAAAGUGUCGUAUGUUUAUCUGUUGGUGCGAGAAAGUGUAACACAUUUAAGUUGAAAAACAAUUAUAUAUAUUAUGUCUAAGCAUAUAAGCUUCUUAAUUAAAGAAUAAAUUUAAUCAAUACUAAUGUAUUGCUCUAGUGUUGUUUGGGUUGGACAUGUAUAUAUAAAAUAAAGCGUAAGCGAUUAUAUCUAUGUUAAGAAA